rnacentral:misc_RNA from 1 species
UCCGGUUUGAAACCGGCAGUCGCGUUAGACAUGGUAACUAACGCCGAGGGUUGCGCUCGUUGCGGGACUUAACCCAACACCUCACGGCACGAGCUGACGACAGCCGUGCAGCACCUGUGCGGGCCCCCGAAAGGGCACCGUGUUUCCACGGUUUCACCCCGCAUGUCAAGCCCUGGUAAGGUUCUUCGCGUUGCGUCGAAUUAAACCACAUGCUCCGCUGCUUGUGCGGGCCCCCGUCAAUUCCUUUGAGUUUUAGCCUUGCGGCCGUACUCCCCAGGCGGGGCGCUUAAUGCGUUAGCUUCGGCACGGACGGAGUCGACACCGCCCACACCUAGCGCCCAUCGUUUACGGCGUGGACUAC